rnacentral:rRNA from 1 species
AUAUCAAUAAGCGGAGGAAAAGAAACUAACAAGGAUUCCCCUAGUAACGGCGAGUGAAGAGGGAAAAGCUCAAAUUUUGAAUCUGGUGUCUUUGACCCCCGAGUUGUAAUCUAGAGAAGUGUUUUCCGCUUUGGACCGUGUACAAGUCCCCUGGAACGGGGCGUCAUAGAGGGUGAGAAUCCCGUAUAUGCCACGGACUACCAAUGCUCUGUGAUACACUCUCAACGAGUCGAGUUGUUUGGGAAUGCAGCUCAAAAUGGGUGGUAAAUUCCAUCUAAAGCUAAAUAUUGGCGAGAGACCGAUAGCGAACAAGUACCGUGAGGGAAAGAUGAAAAGCACUUUGGAAAGAGAGUGAAACAGUAC